GGGGUCUGGGCUUAGUGGUAGUGGACAUGCUUCACACUAUUAGUGGACUUGCAUGAGGUUGUGAGUUCAAUUCUCAAAGGCUCCA